UGCUAUUUCGACAAAACAAUAUAAAUAGUAAACCCUGCCCAGUGUAAAAUUUAAACGGCCGCAGUAUCCUAACUGUGCUAAGGUAGCAUAAUAAUUUGCCUACUAAUUAUAGGCUUGAAUGAAGGGGUAAACAAAAUCAUAGCUGUCUCUAAUAAACAAAUAAAAAUUAAUAUAUGGGUGAAGAAGCCCUUAUAAAAUUGUAAGACAAGAAGACCCUAUAGAGCUUUAUUUUUAGCUAAUAUAACUACUAUAUAUUUCAAAAUUUGGUUGGGGCGACUAAUGAAUAAAAAUCAUCUUAUUACAAAAAAGAUAUACAUUUCUCCUAAACAGAUCCAAUAUAAUUGAUCUCUGAACCAAGCUACCUUAGGGAUAACAGACUAAUAUUCUUUAAGAGUCCAUAUCUACAAGAAUGAUUGGCACCUCGAUGUUGGCUUAGAAAUUUCAUUAUAGAGCAAAAACUAUAACAGACGGUUUGUUCAACCUUUAAUCUUCU
rnacentral:rRNA from 1 species